AUGCCUGCAUUCUUUCCUUCUAGAGCUGUCUAUUUCAAGGGAGUAGGACUACAGGGAGGAGUGCCCAGUUUUGUGGGAGAUUUCUGCUUCUGUUUUCAGGAAACAGAGAGUGUCAGGUGUAUCCCAGAUGAGCCCGUUCUCUGCAGAAGUCCCAUUCUGGAGCAAGGGAGGAAAAAUGCAGAUGUGAGAUGACAGUCACAGACACUGAGAUCCUUUCACAAUAAGUGUGAAAUCUGGUUCUCCCAGGGGUGAAGAAUGCCUUGCUGCAGCAAAAUUAGUAUGAUGCUGAAUAUAAAGCUGAAAACAACACUGUCUACCUGUCUAUCUCAUUAACAACUUUCCACAGUUUUGGUGAAGCGAGAAAUGAUCUUUCAAAUUAAACAUCUC
rnacentral:lncRNA from 1 species